rnacentral:rRNA from 1 species
UAAGACGGAGGAGGGAAGCGUUGUUCGGAAUUACUGGGUGUAAAGGGCGUGUAGGUGUGCUGGCAAGUCCUCUGUGAAAGCCCUCUUCUCAAGGGAGGAAGUGCGGUGGAAACUGUCAGCAUUGAGUAUAGGAGAGGAGAGCGGAACUCCCGGUGUAGCGGUGAAAUGCGUAGAUAUCGGGAGGAACACCGGUGGCGAAGGCGGCUCUCUAGCCUGAUGCUGACACUGAGGCGCGAAAGCCAGGGGAGCGAAUGGGAUUAGAUACCCCAGUAGUCCUGGCCGUAAACGAUGGGCAUUAGGUGUAGGGGGUUUAUACCUUCUGUGCCGUAGUUAACACGUUAAAUGCCCCACCUGGGGAGUACGGCCGCAAGGCUG